ensembl:lncRNA
AACGAGGCUCCUGGAGGGAUUUUGAAAAUGAAGAGGAAGGCUACUUUGCUGAAAUAUAUUUAGCAAAGCUGCCGUGAAGCAAGCGGGAACGAGGUUACGAAGCCAGGGGAGUGUUACUAACGAGGCUCGCGCAGGAAUUCUCUUGGUGGGAUAGUGGACUGCAGCACUACGUGGCUCCACACUUCCCAUAAUUCAUUCCAAUUUGAGCAUCACCACCACCAGCCCCACCACCACCAACAAAGGCACCAAGAGGUGAACAAUAACAUAACCGACUUAGCUGACAUGGGUCAACAAAGCAUCCUCGGUUCACACGCACAUGCACGAGCGUGCACGCACGCACACACACACAAGCAC